UCAGGGAUGGGAGAGGCACGCCAGAGGAGUGAAAACACAUUUUAUGUAUGGAUUAAAAUUCUGCAAAGAGACUGACGAGCAUAUGAUUUAAAAAUCUUAGAUUAUUUGAGCUAAUGACAUAACUGUGGGACUCUUUAGAGUGAAGUUACUAGCAAUCAGGAAAUAAAAACCAUAAUUGAAUUUAAUGUAUCUGCCAGACCAUAGAAUGUCUCGUUUCUCCUAGUUUCCCAUAUUCCUGCUUGGUUUGUUUUGUUCUGGCAGAUAUUGAAAACGGUGAUAUCUUCUGAACAAAUACUGAACAAAAGUAACUUAAAAUUUGUUUAUUUGUGACAGUGCCUUAUGUGACCCAACUGAAUCCAACUCAUUAAAAAAUUUGAUCCUCCUGCCCCUACCUUCCAGGGCAGAGAAGCACCCUAGGCCCAACAGAUGCCACAUAGAAUGCCAACUUAUAUUUACACUUUUUAUUUUUCUACUUUGAAUUACCACAAACCAAGUUUCAUACCUGAUUUCCCAUUUCAGAAAGAGGAUGCUACUGCAUUGGGUUAUUGCUUAAUCAUGCAUUAUUAUCUUCUCAAUAAUAUUCACAACAAACUCACAGACAACUGAGGUCACCCUGUAAGGUUGUAAAGAUGAUUUACAAUCAGUUGGGAAGGUAUAAUAUGAAGAUUCAAAGGCGAGGAGCUAGCAAGAAGAGGCUUUAUCCUACCUGGUAUAAGAUUUCAGUAAAGGAAAGUCAACCUCAUCACAGAGUGUGGAUGCUGGUGGAUUACGUGCACAGACCAACCUGUGUCAGCCUUUGUUGAUAUGUUCGAUUAUGCAACAAAACAAACUAAUUAAUUGGAUCUAUCCAUCCACCCAUCAAUUGAUCUGUGAUCUACUCCUUCAUCUAUGUUGGUUACAUUUUUGUCAACUUGACAGAAGCUAGAGUCAUCUAUGAAUUGGGAAUGACAGUUGGAGAACCGCACCCAUCAAAUUGGUCUGUAAACAAGUCUGCAGACCAUUUUCAUGAUUGGUGACUGAUGUGUGGCACUGUGGGAAGUGCCACCCACAGCAGUGAAGUGACCAUGCAGACCAGAAUAACAAAAUGUCAUUCCUAUGAAGAGAUGUAGCAUAAGAGUGCUAUGGAACACCAGGUACAGAAGCCAAGGAGCAUUUUAGAAGCCUUCCACUGAUAGCAGAGAUGGAACCAUUUUACAGACAUUGCUCUGACUGAGAAAUUGUUAGUACAAUGCUCUGAGUUCUUCCUCAUUGAGGAGUAUCGGCUGGAUCGUCUCAUGAAUCAGGUGGACUUAUGUUGGAGGGUGACAUGGAGUAGGUUUGGGGGAAGGUUAGUAUAGUUCAUAUCACUUAUAGCCUGGAAGCAGUUUCAAUGACGAGGAACUAAUUUUUCACUUUCUGUCAACUGCUUUGUCCUGAAUGUGUAUAGAGCUUGAUGCUGGUCUCUACAUUAAAAGUUCUGUGUUAUGAAG